GGCGUGAGGAAGACACAUAAGGGAGUUGAGAAAAUGCAGCCGCUGACUGUGACAGGAUGUUUGCGGAUUCUCCUAUCCUCCAAGUUUGAACCAAAUUUUGAAGAAAAUCUCCAAACUUAGUUCUCUAUUCCUAUUUGGCAGUGAAUGUUAUAGUUACAAUGAUGUAUACAAAGUUUCCCGGACAGUACAUGAGAUGACACACAGCGAUGCCACACAUUCACAUUUGCACUGUUUGCCUCCAGCCAACCACCCAACCCCUCC